rnacentral:rRNA from 1 species
CUGCAUACUGCUUUGAACAUCGAAUCUUGAACGCAUAUUGCGGCCAUGGGUUAGCCUGUGGCCACGCCUGUCCGAGGGUCGGCUUACAAACUAUCACGACGCCCAAAAAGUCGUGGCUUGGGUCUUGCCAGCUGGCUGAACUCCUCUAUGAUUAUUCAUGUGAGGUGCCAGAACUAUGGCGUUUCCCUAAUGUAUCCGGACGCGUCCUUGUCUCAGCAGAAGGCUGUGGUGAGGUGCGGUAGCGGGAUCGUGGUUUAAUGAAUACUGUGCACGUCCGUUGCUGUGUCUUCAUCGUCGGCUUGAUGCGUGACUUGGUCUCGUGUCUGAGGCUUUUGCCAUACAUAGACUGCCAUUUGUGUGGUCUAAUUUCCUGACCUCGGUUCAGACGUGAUUACCCGCUGAACUUAAGCAUAUCACUAAGCGGAGGAAAAGAAA